rnacentral:tRNA from 1 species
GGGCCUUUAGCUCAGUUGGUUAGAGCAGCGGACUCAUAAUCCGUUGGUCGCGGGUUCAAGUCCCGCAGGGCCUA